rnacentral:misc_RNA from 1 species
GAUUUGGAAGCCAUAAGUGCAUGGAGAAAAAAAAAAAUCAGUAUUGUUUUUAGUGGAGACAACAUACACCGACCAUUUUAAUUAGGUAAACGAAGAAAUGGUUUAAAGGGAAAGAAAAGAAGAGAAUAAGAAUGAAACUAUGUUUUACCCAACCAUAAGCCAAGACUAAAAACAGUUUCAUUUUUUAAAGAAACAAAAAAACAAUGAAACAAUCACGGUGUCAAACACACCAUUAGAUUGAUAUUUCAUGAAAACUAGCAACCUAAGUGGUCCAAAAG